GGAAGGAGAAGUGGUAACAAGGGAGGAGCAUAUCAAUAAGCGGAGGACAGGAGAAGUGGUAACAAGGUUUCCGUAGGUGAACCUGCGGAAGGAUCAUUG
rnacentral:rRNA from 1 species